rnacentral:rRNA from 1 species
AAUCUUGCGCAAUGGGGGAAACCCUGACGCAGCAACGCCGCGUGAGUGAUGAAGGUCUUCGGAUCGUAAAGCUCUGUCGGCAGGAACGAUGGGUAGCGUGGCUAACAUCCACGAGACCUGACGGUACCUGCAAAGGCAGCACCGGCUACCUACGUGCCAGCAGCCGCGGUAAUACGUAGGGUGCGAGCGUUAAUCGGAAUUACUGGGCGUAAAGUGUGCGCAGGCGGCCGAGCAUGUCGAGUGUGAAAGCCCCGGGCUUAACCUGGGAACUGCGCUCGAAACUACUUGGCUGGAGUGUGGCAGAGGAAGGUGGAAUUCCACGUGUAGCGGUGAAAUGCGUAGAGAUGUGGAGGAACACCGAUGGCGAAGGCAGCCUUCUGGGCCAACACUGACGCUCAUGCACGAAAGCGUGGGGAGCAAAC